AAGUACAAUGAAGCAAAGUAUUAGGUUGGAGCUCUGAGCUAGCUUAAAAUGCACUGCUGGCAUGGCUAACAGAACAAACUCCUCUGAGUAUUUCUGGGCUUAUGAAUAUUAUUGGGAUUACAUAGAUCCAAUUCCAGUAGAUGGAAGCAAGUUGGAGGUUAACAAAUACUCCAUCGUCAUCGCCUUUUGGGUCGGACUUGCUGCCUUCGUGAUGUUGCUUUUCCUUAUUUUACUGUGUAUGUCCCGCUCUGGAUCGACUCCAGUAAAACAAGUGACUGUAGGGAGCCAGAUGGAAGAAAGCAGUUCCAAUGGGGAACAGCCUCACUGUGAUGACUUCAGGAGCCCAUACUCAGAUGUGGUUGCUUCUUAAACACCUCGCUCCCUUUCGGAUGAAAUGGGCAUUCCUGGAAGGAUCUGAGCCUGAGGUAAAACUGGAAGAGGUUAAACCAACCCAGCAGGGCAGUUCCCAUGGUUGCAGAAAUAAGGAUGCAGCAGCUUCAACCAUUCCUGCCUCAUGUGUAUGCCCUCAGCUGGAACCUCUCUCCUGACCAGUUCUGCAUGGCCUGCCUGCUCCAGCAUCCUCCUCCCUGACUCAGGACAGACUUGUAUCACCCCCUUUUUUAAGAUCCUCCACUCCACAAGGGGAUUUCAAGGGGAUUUCUGGAAGAUGUGAACACUCCCAUUCAUGACAACAGGUGUUCUUCCAUGGGUUGCACUGGAACAGGGCUCAGAGCACGUAACCACUAAAAAGACCUUUUUGAUUUUUAACUUUCAAAUUACCUGGAAAUACAGUAUGAAGUAUAUAAACAUUAAUAAAUAAUAUGCAAAACACAGCCCUGGCUUAUAGCACCCAACCUGGGGGCAGGGGAGUGGGGGGAGCAAAACAUUUCCUCCCAUGACAUUCCAUAUGUACCCAUUUCAAAGCUUCCCAGUGCUUUGCUUUCCACAGGGAGCACUUUAUUUCCCCUUCCCCCUGAGUCCUCCAUUAGAGAAUCAUGGAAUUGUUUAGGCUGGAAAAGCCCUUGAAGAUCAAAUCCAACUGUUCCCCAGCACUGCCAAGGCCACCACUAACCCAUGUCCCCAGGUGCCACUUUCACACUGUGUGAUCCCUCCUAUCCUUGGGUUGGUGGAAUGCUCUUAUUUCUUUAAUUCUCUCAACAGAUCAUACUAUAAACCACUGUGGGGUGUGCUCAGGACCUCGAGGCAACUGAGAAAUCCCUUCCCUUUGUGUCAUGGGUAUUUUCUUUUAACAGUUAGGUGAGAUGGAAAGACAUCUUUUGUUUUGGAACACCUUUGGUUUCAUUGUGCCUGUUUGUUUUUUGUAAUCAAGAAAAAUAAGGGUUUUUUUGCUUCACACAGAUUUCCUGAUGUCAGCCCCCUGCAACAAAAUGUAGCCUCUAAGGGGCUUUCAGCAUUUUUAAGAAAUAUCGUUU